GCCAGCAGCUAUCACUCUGCAUGUCUCAUCUGGUUGCCCACUGAAGCUAAGCAGGGUUGAGCCUGGUCAGUACCUGGAUGGGAGACCUCCUGGGAAAACUAGGUUGCUGCUGGAA
rnacentral:rRNA from 1 species